UACGGAGGGUGCAAGCGUUAUCCGGAUUCACUGGGUUUAAAGGGUGCGUAGGUGGGCAGGUAAGUCCGUGGUGAAAUCUCUGAGCUUAACUCAGAAACUGCCGUGGAUACUAUUUGUCUUGAAUGUUGUGGAGGUGAGCGGAAUAUGUCAUGUAGCGGUGAAAUGCUUAGAUAUGACAUAGAACACCAAUUGCGAAGGCAGCUUACUACACAACGAUUGACGCUGAGGCACGAAAGCGUGGGGAUCAAACAGG
rnacentral:rRNA from 1 species